rnacentral:rRNA from 1 species
GUAGGGAAUAUUGCACAAUGGAGGAAACUCUGAUGCAGCGACGCCGCGUGAGUGAUGAAGGCCUUCGGGUCGUAAAGCUCUGUCGCAGGGGAAUAACACAAUGAAGGUACCCUGUAAGAAAGGAUCGGCUAACUUCGUGCCAGCAGCCGCGGUAAGACGAGGGAUCCUAGCGUUGUUCGGAAUCAUUGUGCGUAAAGUGGAUGUAGGUGGCUAUGUCAGUCGGAUGUGAAAGCCUGGGUCUCAACCGCGGAAGUGCAGUUGAUACUGCGUAGCUUGAGUAUCGGAGAGGUUACUGGAAUUGUUGGUGUAGUGGUGAAAUACGUAGAUCUCAACAGGAAUACCGGAGGCGAAGGCGGGUAACUGGCCGAACACUGACACUGAGAUCCGAAAGCGUGGGGAUCAAACAGGAUUAGAAACCCGGGUAGUCC